UAGCUUCUUGCGAAGCCGUCAAUAUUAAUCUUCUUGCUGCUGAUUAAUGUUGAAGUGACGUCUGUACAAUCAUUU
rnacentral:tRNA from 1 species